GACGAACGCUGGCGGCGUGCCUAACACAUGCAAGUCGAACGGAAAGGCCCUGCUUUUGUGCGCUGCUCGGGUGGCGAAGGGGGGAGUAACACGUGAGUAACCUGCACUUCACUUUGGGAUAACUUAAGGCAACUGGGGCUAAUACCGGAUAGGAGCUCCCGCUGCAGGGUGGGGGGUGGAUAGUUUCGGCGGUUGGGGGUGGACUCGCGGCUUAUCAGCUUGUUGGUGGGGUAGUGGCUUACCAAGGCUUUGACGGAUAGCCGGCCUGGGAGGGGGACCGGCCCCGCUACACCUGGGGUACGGCCCAGCCUCGAAUGGUAGGCGACGGUGGGGAGUAUUAUACAGUAGGAUGGGCGCUGGUCUGACACCGCCACGCCCGGGAAGUCGUGCUUCGGGUAGGGAACCGAAGCCGCCUGAGACGAGGCGUUAGUGACGGUACCGGGAGAAUAAGCACCGGCUAACUACGUG
rnacentral:rRNA from 1 species